GACGAACGCUGGCGGCGUGCUUAACACAUGCAAGUCGAACGGAAAGGCCUGCUUUCCCUUGUGGAUUGCGGGUACUCGAGUGGCGAACGGGUGAGUAACACGUGAGUGAUCUGCCCCCAACUUGGGUAUAAGCCUGGGAAACUGGGUCUAAUUCCCGAUAGGACUGCAGGGUGGUGCCUGUGGUGGAAAACGAUUUUCUAGUGGUUGGGGAUGAGCUCGCGGCCUAUCAGCUUGGUGGUGGGGUAAUGGCCUACCAAGGCGGCGACGGGUAGCCGGCCUGGGAGGGUGGACGGCCACAUUGGGACUGAGAUACGGCCCAGACUCCUACGGGAGGCAGCAGUGGGGAAUAUUGCACAAUGGGCGGAAGCCUGAGGCAGCGACGCCGCGUGGGGGAUGACGGCCUUCGGGUUGUAAACUCCUUUCGACCGCGAGGAAGCCACCUGGUUGGAAGGGUGGUGACGGUAGUGGUAGAAGAAGCACCGGCUAACUACGUG
rnacentral:rRNA from 1 species